UUCAUAUCAGCAAGAAAUCCUAAAAAGGUUAAAUUACUACAGACCUUUAUAGUGUAAAGGUUAGGGUUUGGUUAUGUAAGACAGAGCUGACAACUUGUACCUAUUAGUUAUCUAACAUGUCGAACACCUGUGUGGACGCGGAACUGGAGUUCAACUGGAGGCCCAGAGUUUGUCUCUGAAAAUCUGCUACAGUAAGUAUCAUUUUCAUUUGAAAGAUUAUUUCUUGCUGAUAUCAGAAAGGGGCAUAUGUUUUUCGAAAACAGUUUCGCAAGCGAUGAUUGACAUUUCUAAAAGUUAAAACAGCUUCGGAAUUACAGUUCAAGGAGCCAGUCGUGGACGAAGUUAACCAGUGAAAACCCUAAGCAGAGAAUGGGUUUUCGAGAACUAUGGAUCUCUGAUCUCAGCAGAUGUAACCUCUGAACUCUCCAUGUCAGUUUCCUCUCCAUGUCAGUUUCCUCUCCCUGGUUCUUCCAGCACAGGGAGCAUAGCAGAACCACACAGGUAGACAGCCACCACCAUCCACACCACCACCCCAAACAGCAUGAAGGACAACAGGUUGCCGUCCAUGGUCCCUCUAGUUGUGGCGCGGAAGGGAAAGAGAUAUUGAGAAAGAAAGAGAGGGAGGUGGAGACAGAAAGAGGCUCCCUUGACCUUCCAAAUGGACAGUGUGCAGACCCUACUGACCAAAAAGGAGGACGAUGGAAUAAGUCUGUGUGUUCGUGUAUGCAUCUGUGUUUACGUGGGAGACUAAGUAUUCUGUAAAGAGGACAUAGUUGGCUGCCUAGAAACAGGUAUGGAGCAUGUUACCCUACCAAGGAGAAGAGGUAACAUUGAGACGUCACUGGAUCUCCCACCUAAAAACACUGACCCCUAGUGGUUUAAAUAUUGACUUUGAUCUCAGGCCCUUUCUAUGAACAUUUCAAACCAAUGAACAUGUUUUCCCCACAGCUUAUUAGCUGAUACUGCAUAUCAUGUUUCCCAUGUUGAUGAUGCUCAUUAUGCAUUAUGUUUGAACCACAAGAAGAUAUUAAAUCCAGGCUGUAUCACAUCCGGCCGUGAUCGGGAGUCCCAUAGGGCAGCGCACAGUUGGCCCAGCGUCGUCCGUGUUUUGGGAGGGUUUGACCAGGGUAGGACGUAAUUGUAAAUAAUAAUUUGUUCUUAACUGACUUGCCUACUUAAAUAAAAUAAAAAAUUACAUUAUGAAAAAGAUUCAAGUAAAUUAAAUGUAACAAAUAAUUGAUAUUAACAUGUAUUCUAUUAAAUCUAAUCAUAUAGACAUGAUUAUGUAAA